UAGGGAAUCUUCCACAAUGGACGCAAGUCUGAUGGAGCAACGCCGCGUGAGUGAAGAAGGUUUUCGGACCGUAAAGCUCUGUUGUUGGUGAAGAAGGAUAGAGGUAGUAACUGGCCUUUAUUUGACGGUAAUCAACCAGAAAGUCACGGCUAACUACGUGCCAGCAGCCGCGGUAAUACGUAGGUGGCAAGCGUUGUCCGGAUUUAUUGGGCGUAAAGCGAGCGCAGGCGGAAGAAUAAGUCUGAUGUGAAAGCCCUCGGCUUAACCGAGGAAUUGCAUCGGAAACUGUUUUCUUGAGUGCAGAAGAGGAGAGUAGAACUCCAUGUGUAGCGGUGGAAUGCGUAGAUAUAUGGAAGAAUACCAGUGGCGAAGGCGGCUCUCUGGUCUGCAACUGACGCUGAGGCUCGAAAAGCAUGGGUAGCGAACAGGAUUAGAUACCCUGGUAGUCCAUGCCGUAAACGAUGAGUGCUAAGUGUUGGGAGGCUUCCGCCUCUCAGUGCUGCAGCUAACGCAUUAAGCACUCCGCCUGGGGGAGUACGACCGCAA
rnacentral:rRNA from 1 species